UUGCUUCAGCACCACAUAUACUAAAACUGGAACAAUAUAGAGAAGAUUAGCAUGGCUCCUGUAUAAGGAUGACACACAAACUCAUGAAGCAUUACAUAUUUUU